rnacentral:rRNA from 1 species
UGAACGCUGGCGGUAUGCUUUACACAUGCAAGUCGUACGGGAGUUUUUAACUCAAGUGGCGGACGGGUGAGUAACACGUAAGAAUUUACCUUUAGGAGGGGGAUAACAACUGGAAACGGUUGCUAAUACCCCAUAUGCUUUCGAGUGAAAUGGAUUUUUCCGCCUAGAGAGAAGCUCGCGGCUGAUUAGCUUGUUGGUAAGGUAAUGGCUUACCAAGGCGACGAUCAGUAUCUGGUUUGAGAGGACGAUCAGACACACUGGAACUGAGACACGGUCCAGACUCCUACGGGAGGCAGCAGUGGGGAAUUUUGCGCAAUGGGCGAAAGCCUGACGGAGCAAUACCGCGUGAGGGAUGACGGCCUAUGGGUUGUAAACCUCUUUUCUCAGGGAGGAAUAAAUGACGUGUACCUGAGGAAUAAGCAUCGGCUAACUCC